AACAUAUUCAAAUCAAUUAAUUUAUUAUAAUUUUGCUUCAAAUCCUUCUCAAAACAUUGUAAUUGUCAGGGAAUACCCCUGCUAUAAAAAAUUGAUCAAAAGAGGUCAUUGUUGUGUCAAGUGACUUAGCUGUCUCGGUACCUAGCAACAGGUGCGAAGCCGGAGGAGAAUUCAUUGCAUAUACAAGACGAUGCUGUCUUUAAUCGCUGACUGUUUAUUACAAAUAUCGAAGCCCAAUAAAUUAUUGGAUUAUCCACUGCCCUAGUUUUUUUCCGUGGUUUUUAAGUCAGAAACUGUUGCACGAUCAAGUUUAUCAACAUAUACAUCAAGCGCUCACUAACUCGUGCUAUAUUUGAUGUGUUAUUACAGGUGAUGAUAAUGAGAAAGAUGAUGGAACAUCAGUGUCACAGUCGAAUUCUACUCGAAAUGGUAGACAAAACAGAGAAUAACGGGUUGAAACAAAUAAAGAAGAAAGGUAAAUAAACCUUAAUUAUUGAACACCUGACCGAAAUGGAAGACAAAACAGAGAACAACAGGUUGAAACAAAUAAAGAAGAAAGCGAUAAAGAAGAAAAUACAGAUGAGGAAGAGACGCCACCACCUAAACGUCAGAGAAAGAAUGUGGGCCGUAAAACUGGUGAUCUAGAUUCAUCGUUAGAUUUAGGGGAUGACGAGAUUACAUCAUCAUCUUCUACGAUAGUUAAAAGGUCAGCUAGAAAGAGAGGAAGUGUAAGAACAGCGACACCAAGUAAACCUAUUUUACCUAAAGUAACUAGAAAUACAUCCAAUGAGAGCUAUGAUGGUGGUCGAGGUCGGAUGAGUAAAAGUAGUUCUAAUAAUUCUAAUGUAUCUAAUAUAGAUCCUGAAGAUUUGUUCAGUGUUUUGUAGACUUAUUUAUCAGACAGAAUAGUACAUAACUGUUUGUAUCUGGUUUAUUUAUCAGACAUUUCAAUCAGUUUCUAAUGUGCUUGAUACUGAAAUUUGAGAGAACAACUGUAAUAAUAGGAGGUAGCCAUUGUUUACGAUUCAGACAUAAUGUUGUGUAUUAAUUGUAUAAUUUGUAUAUAAUACAGGCAUAAUGUUGUGUAUUAAACAUAACCUAAUAUUGUAUAUAUCACAUGAAUAUACUACUGCUAAUAUAAUAGAAUAUAUUGUAUUAACAUGUUUGUUUGUUUGUAUCUAAGACGCCAUGUUGAAUGUC